AGAAAACAUAUGAUAUAUGACUCAUGAAAGCUUACGUAACUGUAAAUUUUUUCUUUUGCAUAAUUUAUGUUGAGAUCUUGAUUCAGAAUAUUUAGAUAGUAAUAAAUAUAAUGUCGGAAUAUGGGCCCUCAGAUCGCUAAGCCGGUUAACUGGAGAAACUCUUAAUACAGAAUUUAACGUCAGGGACACAGAAGUGAUAGUUGUAGCUAUACUAGCAGAUGUACUUUUAAACCAGGAACUGGAAACCCAGAUAUCUGAAGAAUUCAGUCCAAAUAUAGCCAGUUUGUGGAGAAGUGUGAAGGAGGUUCAGAGCUCUCCGUGUUUGGAUAAAAACGACAUCAAUUUUAGAUGUUCUCACAUUGGCUGCGGAUUAACCCAUCUCGGUGUUCUCGUCAGACAACUUACAAACCAGGCUAAACUAGUAAUCAUGGGUUGGUUCCUGGUUCUAGUGAGAUGGGUCACUUCUUUUUAUACAACUUCCGGCUGGGGUUCAGGGGAUAUAUUGAACUAUGUCGAGGCGGUGUAUCGAGGAGCAAGGUUGACCAGAGUUGAGACUAAUCUAAUUCUAGAGAAAAUUUUCUCCAGGAUAGAAGAAAUAUACAGCUCAAUACAAACUCUCCAACCGUCCUAAUUAUCAUUUUCUAAAAUUGAUAAAUUCUUAUUAAUCAUUGUUAUGUAAAAGCAAGAUUUUUUGAAAGAAUAAAUAUAUAUAUAUUUGGGGA
rnacentral:misc_RNA from 1 species